UACGUAGGGUGCGAGCGUUGUCCGGAAUUAUUGGGCGUAAAGAGCUCGUAGGCGGUGUGUCGCGUCGGCCGUGAAAACCUGGGGCUCAACUCUGGGCGUGCGGUCGAUACGGGCAUCACUUGAGUUCGGCAGGGGAGACUGGAAUUCCUGGUGUAGCGGUGAAAUGCGCAGAUAUCAGGAGGAACACCGGUGGCGAAGGCGGGUCUCUGGGCCGAUACUGACGUGAGGAGCGAAAGCAUGGGGUAGCGAACAGG
rnacentral:rRNA from 1 species